GGGAUGUAUCUCAGUGGUACAGUGUUUGCCUGGUGUGCAUAAGGCCCUGGGUUCAAUCCCCAGUUCUG
rnacentral:tRNA from 1 species